rnacentral:rRNA from 1 species
GCUGAAACCCGCCUCCAUGAAGUUGGAUUCGCUAGUAAUCGCGCAUCAGCCAUGGCGCGGUGAAUACGUUCCCGGGCCCUUGUACACACCGCCCGUCAAGCCAUGGGAGCUGGGGGUGCCUGAAGUUCGUGACCGCAAGGAUCGACCUAGGGCAAAACCGGUGACUGGGGCUAAGUCGUAACAAGGUACC